rnacentral:hammerhead_ribozyme from 1 species
AUCUACCUGACAAGUCCCAAAUAAGACGAAACGCGUGUCGUGGAU